rnacentral:rRNA from 1 species
AGAAUCAACGCUGGCGGCGUGCCUAACACAUGCAAGUCGAACGAGAAAGUGGAGCAAUCCAUGAGUAAAGUGGCGACCGGGUGAGUAACACGUGACUAACCUACCUUCGAGUGGGGGAUAACAUCGGGAAACCGAUGACUAAUACCGCAUAACAUCGCAAGAUCAAAGGCAGUAAUGCGCUUGAAGAGGGGGUCGCGGCUGAUUAGCUAGUUGGCGGGGUAACGGCCCACCAAGGCGAAGAUCGGUA